rnacentral:rRNA from 4 species
UACAAGGUUUCCGUAGGGUGAACCUGCGGAAGGAUCAUUG